rfam:Canis lupus familiaris chromosome 5, whole genome shotgun sequence.
GGAUGUGAGUGCAAUCUGGCUGUGACGGCUGUCACCUCAUUGAUCAGGGUUGAUUUAGCUGAUCUGGCUGCCUAGGCGGGUGUCCCCUCCAUCCCUCACCACUCCAUAUGUGUGCCUCCUGAAGCUGCACACUUGGUUGAAGAGGAUGACCUGCCCCAAUGGAGGAGGACCGUUCUUUGGUCAAGGGUAUACAAGUAGCUGUAUGUCCCUGCUAGAACCUCCAGACAAGCUCUCAGGGUCCAUUUGUAGGAGAACAUAGGGUAGUCAAGGUUCCAAGACUUCAGACACAUUCAAAUGCAGCCCUGCAUGUGACCAUUUGCCUUUCUUA